CUAGCUUUGAAUCACUUUGAAAUUAAAACUGAUGUCUUAAACACAACAGAUCUAAUUGAAGCGGACCAUAAGUAACUAUAAGUAAGGUCUGCGCACACUACUAUCAAGCUCCAGUAAAAGCAUGUAGAAUAAAAAAAAGCUUGUAAAAUCGAAAAAUAAAUAAUCUGUGUUUAUCUUUGUCUCGGUCUGGUUGUGUGUCAUUUUUAUCACACUGUCAGCGCAACGCUGCAGAAACAAAUGACAGUACACUGAUAUAUCGUUAAUAUUGCAUAGUAACGUUCCUUGGAUAUUGUUUCUGCAUAACUGCUGCUACAUUACACAUACAUAAGACAACAUCAGCCUUGCCAUGCAAUGCUUCUGCAUUAAUUGUUUCUACGGUAUUGGUGCAACAUAACACAGGUCGACAUUAGCAACAUAACAUCAAUAUUGCAUUGUAAUAUUGACAUUAUGCAACAAUUUGUGCUGGCUGUUGGGUGCUGGAUCGCAGUGUUGUACUGCUCAUGUGGCACACACAGUACAAUGAAAUACUGCUGACUGUACAUUAUUAUGUCACACAGCUCUUUUUUUUUUUCUUUUUGCUUCUACACACAUUUGUAAAAACGUAUUGGCUUUAUUUUUUACAUGAACCUAAGUACUAUGAGUAUGGCAUGGUAGCGCAUUUGUUCUGAUGACUCAUGGCCUAUUUCUCCGCCCGUUUUCCAGGUACGACAUUUUAAAGAGUGCAACGACUGGCCCGAUAACUACAAUCUUUGGAAUUUAUCUGUCUGCAUUGAUGAGCCUCAACUGCUGAACAUCACGGACAAAAAUGCUCAGUCUGCCAAAACACUUCUGUCUAACGAGCGAACACUUAUUUUUGUUUAUUGCGAACAAUUAUUGUGACUAACACUUCGUUUCUCUGUGUAACAGUACAUUCCAGCUUAUGCUAUACUGCUUUGUGUGCUUUCUCGUUUCACUCCCAUCGCCGAUUCACUUCCACAUAAGCUCACCGCAGCUUUAUACGUUGAUGUAAACCAUAUUGACGUGAUAUCUUAAUAGAGCCCACCACAGUUUAUUUUUGUUUUUUUGUUGUGGAGGAGGGUAUUGGAGGUGGGGGCGCUGCAAAAAUUCCUGCCUCAGCAUUAGCAUUAUUCUGGACGUUCUCGUUUUCAUGCAUACCAAAUUUCCUUUUCACUUUCCAGGUGCCAAAGUUCAUCCAACCCAAGUGACGAGAGAGUUCAGGUGCAGGUUUUGCCACUACGCUUCGAAACGCAAAGACCACGUAAGGACGCACGAGAAGACUCACAAUGCAGUCAGACCGUACAAGUGCGAUCUGUGUCCAAAGACGUUCAAGUGGAAGCAGUGUCUAAAGACGCACAUGUACGUGCAUACGACGGUGAAAUCCUACGUGUGCAAGACCUGCAACAAGGCAUUCAAGCAUCCGAGAGGCCUAUACAAACACGCGGCGGUUCACAAGGACAAAACGCGUUGCGAAGUUUGCAAGAAGGUCUUGUGCUCGUCGGACAGCCUCGAGAGCCACAUGAUGAUACAUACGGGAAAGUUCCCGUACGAGUGUGUCAUUUGCUCGAAGAAGUUCCGCUGCAAGAAGCAGCUGGGUGACCAUCUGUUAGUUCACGACUGAUUAAUGACACAUAAUUAUUAGGAUUUUCGGUGUUUAUAAUUUCCUCCCUAAUGUAAUAAUUAGUAAUAAUAAUUUUUAAUUAACAAUAAUAAUAAUUAAUAAAUAAACCUCCCGUAAUGUGGCAAAAAUGCACGCCAAACCAAAUUACAGUAGUACAAGACCAUCUCUUAGUUCAUGACUGAUUAAUGACACAUAAUUAUUAGGGUUUUCGGUGUUUAUAAUCUCCUCCCUAAUGUAAUAAUUAAUAAUCAUAAUUUUUAAUUAACAGCAAUAAAAAUUAAUAAAUAAACCUCCCGUAAUGUGGCAAAAAUGAACGCCAAACCAAAUUACAGUAGUACGAGAUUGAAUUGACUUUAAAACUGAAUGAAAUAACAGGGUAGCUUCUCUUUGGCACUUAUGUUUGCCCUAUCUCGUAAUACCUCGGAAAAUAUAAACGCCGGAUACCACCCAUAUAAUCAAUCGGUCUGUGCCACAUGACCAAGUUGAUUCAUUUUUCAUACGAGGGUCCUCAUACAGCUUGCUCUUUAACUAUGAAAUAAAGACUUUAAAGCAGU